AAUGAACGUUGGCGGCGUGGAUUAGGCAUGCGAGUCGUGCGGGUGUAGCAAUACACCAGCGGCGAAAGGGACAGUAAUAUGUAGGUCAUCUGCCCUCGAGACGGGGAUAGCCGCGGGAAACUGCGGGUAAUACCCGAUAACGUCUUCGGACCAAAGGUGUGAGUCCGCUCGGGGAUGAGCCUACAUCCUAUUAGCUAGUUGGCGGGGUAACGGCCCACCAAGGCAUCGAUGGGUAGCGGGUGUGAGAGCACGACCCGCGUCAUUGGGACUGAGACACUGCCCAGACACCUACGGGUGGCUGCAGUCGAGAAUCUUCGGCAAUGGACGCAAGUCUGACCGAGCGACGCCGCGUGCGGGAUGAAGGCCUUCGGGUUGUAAACCGCUGUCAGUGGGGAGGAAGGCCUCGUGAAGAGCGAGGUUUGACCUAUCCGCAGAGGAAGUGAGGGCUAAGCUCGUGCCAGCAGCCGCAGUAAAAC
rnacentral:rRNA from 1 species